AUUGAACGCUGGCGGCAGGCCUAACACAUGCAAGUCGAACGGUAGCACAGAGAGCUUGCUCUCGGGUGACAAGUGGCGGACGGGUGAGUAACGUCUGGGAAACUGCCCGAUGGAGGGGGAUAACUACUGGAAACGGUAGCUAAUACCGCAUAACGUCGCAAGACCAAAGUGGGGGACCUUCGGGCCUCACACCAUCGGAUGUGCCCAGAUGGGAUUAGCUAGUAGGUGGGGUAAUGGCUCACCUAGGCGACGAUCCCUAGCUGGUCUGAGAGGAUGACCAGCCACACUGGAACUGAGACACGGUCCAGACUCCUAAGGGAGGCAGCAGUGGGGAAUAUUGCACAAUGGGCGCAAGCCUGAUGCAUCCAUGCCGCGUGUAUGAAGAAGGCCUUCGGGUUGUAAAGUACUUUCAGCGGGGAGGAAGGCGGUGAAGUUAAUAGCUUCACCGAUUGACGUUACCCGCAGAAGAAGCACCGGCUAACUCCGUGCCAGCCGCCGCAGUAAAAC
rnacentral:rRNA from 1 species